rnacentral:rRNA from 1 species
AGUGAACGCUGGCGGCGUGCCUAACACAUGCAAGUCGAACGAUGAAGAGCAGCUUGCUGCUCGGAUUAGUGGCGCACGGGUGAGUAAUGCAUAGGUAAUGUGCCCCUUAGUCUGGGAUAGCCACUGGAAACGGUGAUUAAUACUAGAUACUCCUUCUUGUCUCAAGGCAAGUCGGGAAAGUUUUUCGCUAAGGGAUAAGCCUAUGUCCUAUCAGGUAGUUGGUGAGGUAACGGCUCACCAAGCCUAUGACGGGUAUCUGGUUUGAGAGGAUGAUCAGACACACUGGAACUGAGACACGGUCCAGACUCCUACGGGAGGCAGCAGUGAGGAAUAUUGCACAAUGGAGGAAACUCUGAUGCAGCAACGCCGCGUGGAGGAUGACGCAUUUCGGUGUGUAAACUCCUUUUAAGAGGGAAGAUUAUGACGGUACCUCUUGAAUAAGCACCGGCUAACUCCGUGCCAGCUGCCGCAGUAA